CACGUAGGGGGCGAGCGUUGUCCGGAUUCAUUGGGCGUAAAGGGCGCGCAGGCGGCCCGGAAAGUCGGAUGUGAAAACUCGAGGCUCAACCUCGAGCGUGCACCCGAUACUGCCGGGCUUGAGGCAGGUAGGGGAGAUCGGAAUUCCUGGUGUAGCGGUGAAAUGCGCAGAUAUCAGGAGGAACACCGGUGGCGAAGGCGGCUUGCUGGGCCAGUUCUGACGCUGAGGAGCGAAAGCGUGGGGAGCGAACAGG
rnacentral:rRNA from 1 species